UACGAAGGGGGCUAGCGUUGUUCGGAUUUACUGGGCGUAAAGCGCACGUAGGCGGAUCGUUAAGUCGGGGGUGAAAUCCUGGAGCUCAACUCCAGAACUGCCUUCGAUACUGGCGAUCUUGAGUCCGGAAGAGGUGAGUGGAACUCCUAGUGUAGAGGUGGAAUUCGUAGAUAUUAGGAAGAACACCAGUGGCGAAGGCGGCUCACUGGUCCGGUACUGACGCUGAGGUGCGAAAGCGUGGGGAGCAAACAGGAUUAGA
rnacentral:rRNA from 1 species